rnacentral:rRNA from 1 species
UACUAUACAUGCAGUCGAGCGAGCCGAACUAAUUGAUUACCUUCGGGUAUGAAGUUAGGGAAGCGAGCGGCGGAUGGGUGAGUAACACGUGGGUAACCUACCCUAUAGUCUGGGAUACCACUUGGAAACAGGUGCUAAUACCGGAUAAAAGGAGAGAUCACAUGAUUUCUUUUUGAAAGGCGGCGUAAGCUGUCGCUAAAGGAUGGACCCGCGGUGCAUUAGCUAGUUGGUAAGGUAACGGCUUACCAAGGCAACGAUGCAUAGCCGAGUUGAGAGACUGAUCGGCCACAUUGGGACUGAGACACGGCCCAAACUCCUACGGGAGGCAGCAGUAGGGAAUCUUCCACAAUGGACGCAAGUCUGAUGGAGCAACGCCGCGAGAGUGAAGAAGGUUUUCGGAUCGUAAAGCUCUGUUGUUGGUGAAGAAAGAUAGUGAGAGUAACUGCUCAUUAUUUGCCGGUAAUCAACCAGAAAGUCACAGCUAACUACGUGCCAGCAGCCGCGGUAAUACGUAGGUGGCAAGCGUUGUCCGGAUUUAUUGGGCGUAAAGCGAGCGCAGGCGGAAAGAUAAGUCAGAUGUGAAAGCCCUCGGCUUAACCGAGGAAUAGCAUCGGAAACUGUCUUUCUUGAGUGCAGAGGAGGAGAGUGGAACUCCAUGUGUAGCGGUGGAAUGCGUAGAUAUAUGGAAGAACACCAGUGGCGAAGGCGGCUCUCUGGUCUGUAACUGACGCUGAGGCUCG